rnacentral:lncRNA from 1 species
UUUUUUUUUUUUUUAUUGUUGUUGUUAGCUGAUUUUUUGAAGGUCUUUUUUUUUUUUUCUAUUCACUUUUUUUUUUUUUUCUUGUCUUCACAAAGUCAGGCCACCAGGCCCCCUCUGGGCUUUUCCAAAAAGGCCUGAAGCUGGUCUUGCAGAGGAAUUGGAGUGGACAUUGGAGGACGGAACCCUGGGCCAUGUAGGGCGCUGGAGAGCCUGAGGCUGAGAGUCCCAGCCACGGCUUAUCAGGAGAAGCCCCUAGGGGCCCAUCUCCUCUGUUGACCACUGAUUGGAGGGGGUCCCCGCUGAAGUGAAGAAAGGCAGCCGCCAAAUCUUGGACACCCUGCAACCUUCCAGCCUCCAGAAGAAUCUCCAAAUUGCAGACCCUCCCGGUCUCUGCAGCUUCUAAUGUAAAAUUUGAGACCCUUGUGCUCAACGAAACCUGAGGGUUCCAGAGCCCAGCACCCCUGGGACGCAGGGCCCCCCUCUGCCAGCUCUGUGAUCUGGGAGCAGUUGCCUGACUGUUUCGUCCCCCCUUUUUCGCCCUCUGUCCAAGGGCCAUGAUGACAAGAUGGAUCUCCGAGGGCCGUGGUGAGGAUUGAACAAGAUCGGCUGUGAGAAGCGUUUUCGGCGCUGUGUCUGGCACGUGGACGAUUCGAGAGAAGUGUCCGCUGUGGGGACGAUGGAGGAGAUUUGGAAUCCGAAAUCCUUAGAAACCGGAAGUUUUCAAAGCAGAAAACGGCAAAGGCCAAGGGCCUCAGAAGCAUCAGGCAGUGGUGUCUCUGAGCGCGAGCAGGUUGGGGCCCCAACGGGCCAUGAGAAGGUUGGGGUCUCAACGGGCCUCAGAGCUUUGUGAGGAUGGGUGCGUCCAUCCUGGGGCCUGGUUAGGAUCUUCCCUAUAGGGUGGCCUCUGAGUCAGAGCCCUCCGGUCCUAAGAUGUCAUGAGGCAAGACUCUUUGCCCCUUGUUCCUUCAGUGAUGUUCAGUGGCUUCUGAGAGCCAGCGAUUCUCAGACUCUUGGAUUCUGUGAAUUGUUGGCAGCGGGGGGAGGUGGGGUUGGGGAGGGACCCCCUGCUUUUUUCCUCCAUGAAGUAACUUCCAUGCCCCUUAGCCUCUGUGAGAAGAUGGGUUGCAACCGUGUCCAGGGCUCCCCAUCCCUGGGUAGUA